rnacentral:lncRNA from 1 species
AUUAAAACAGGCAUAGUUGUGCAGGCAAUUGCAUUGAGACUGCAGAUACUACUCAAACAAAUUAACAUCCUUCACAAAUUAAACAAGUUACAAAAGCAUAAAUUAGACCAAAGACAAAUUAAAUGUCAUUAUUAGUUCUCAUAACCUUGAUUGGAAUUCAAAAACAUACAUUGAAUAAUAUAAUGAAGCAGGAAAAACCAAAACAGUUUCUCCGGGGAACACAUACGAUAAGUUGCCUUAAAAAUGGAGAUUCUAGUAGCCUUCUGGCUUGUAGGCGAUGAAACUGAUGCAUUGCACUUGACGGACAUUGUCGAAUCCAAUGAUUCUAACCCAGGCUUGUGGGUAAGCCUUCUUUGCCUCCUCGACCUCAGCCAACACCUGAGUGGCAUCAGUGCACCCGAACAUGGGCAACUUCCACAUGGUCCAGUAUCUGCCAUCGUAAUAUAUAAGUUGCCUUAAAAAUGGAGAUUUUAGUAGCCUUCUGGCUUGGAGGCGAUAAAACUGAUGCAUUGCACUUGACGGACGUUGUCGAAUCCAAUGAUUCUAACCCAGGCUUGUGGGUAAGCCUUCUUUGCCUCCUCGACCUCAGCCAACACCUGAGUGGCAUCAGUGCACCCGAACAUGGGCAACUUCCACAUGGUCCAGUAUCUGCCAUCG